rnacentral:lncRNA from 1 species
UUCCCUGACUGGGCAUGGGCCCCUCGUCCCCUCGUCCCCUCGGGUACGGGGCCGGUCUCCCCGCCCGCGGGCGGCGAAGUAAAGGCCCAGCGCAGCCCGCGCUCCUGCCCUGGGCCUCGUCUUUCUCCAGGAAAACGUGGACCGCUCUCCGCCGACAGGUCUCUUCCACAGACCCCUGUCGCCUUCGCCCCCGGUCUCUUCCGGUUCUGUCUUUUCGCUGGCUCGAUACGAACAAGGAAGUCGCCCCCAGCGGAGCCCCGGCUCCCCCAGGCAGAGGCGGCCCCGGGGGCGGAGUCAACGGCGGAGGCCACGCCCUCUGUGAAAGGGCGGGGCAUGCAAAUUCGAAAUGAAAGCCCGGGAACGCCGGAAGAAGCACGGGUGUAAGAUUUCCCUUUUCAAAGGCGGAGAAUAAGAAAUCAGCCCGAGAGUGUAAGGGCGUCAAUAGCGCUGUGGACGAGACAGAGGGAAUGGGGCAAGGAGCGAGGCUGGGGCUCUCACCGCGACUUGAAUGUGGAUGAGAGUGGGACGGUGACGGCGGGCGCGAAGGCGAGCGCAUCGCUUCUCGGCCUUUUGGCUAAGAUCAAGUGUAGUAUCUGUUCUUAUCAGUUUAAUAUCUGAUACGUCCUCUAUCCGAGGACAAUAUAUUAAAUGGAUUUUUGGAGCAGGGAGAUGGAAUAGGAGCUUGCUCCGUCCACUCCACGCAUCGACCUGGUAUUGCAGUACCUCCAGGAACGGUGCACCCCCUCCGGGGAUACAACGUGUUUCCUAAAAGUAGAGGGAGGUAAGAGACGGUAGCACCUGCGGGGCGGCUUGCACGCCGAGUGCCUGUGACGCGCCGGCUUGACUUAACUGCUUCCCUGAAGUACCGUGAGGUUCCUGAUGUGCGGGCGGUAGACGGUAGGCUUAUGUGGCACGCUUUCGUUUCCACCGUGGCUACUGCGCUUUGGGAAGGCCACGACCUCCUCCUUUGGGGAGGUCCUUAGGAUCUCAGCUUGGCAGUCGAGUGGGUGGCGACCUUUUAAAGGAAUGGGACCCACCCGGAGUUCUUCUUUCUCCUGUCUCUCUCUCUCUCUCUCUCUCUCUCUCUCUCUUUCUCUCUCUCUCUCUCUGUCUCUCCGUCUCUCUGUGUCUGUCUCUGUCUCUCUGUCUCUCUCUCUGUCUCUCUCUCUCUCUCUCUCUCUCUCUCCUCUCUCUGUCUCUCUCUCUCUUUCCCUCUCUCUCUCUCUUCCCCCCCCCCCGCCUCUCCCUCGCUCUUUUGGUUUCCCCCACCCCCUCCCAAGUUCUGGGGUACAUGUGCAGGACGUGCAGGUUUGGAACAUAGGUACACGUGUGCCACGGUGCUUUGCUGCACCUAUCCACCAGUCGUCUAGGUUUGAAGCCCCGCAUGCGUUGGCUAUUUGUCCUAAUGCUCUCUCUCCCCUUGCCCCCCACGCCCCGUCAGGGCCCGGCGUGUGAUGUUCCCCUCCCUGUGUCCCAUGUGUUCUCGCUGUUCAACUCCCACUUAGGAGCGAGAACAUGCGGUGUUUGGUUUUCGCUUCCUGUGUCAGUUUGCUGAGAAUGAGGCCUUCCAGCUUCAUCCACGUUCCCGCAGAGGUCAUGAACUCAUCCUUUUUUAUGGCUGCGUAGUAAUUCCAUGCUGUAUACGUGCCACACUUUCUUUAUCCAGCCUAUCAUUCAUGGGCAUUCGAGUUGGUUCCAAGUCUUUGCUAUUGUAAAUAGUGCUGCAGUAAACAUACGUGUCCACGUGUCUUCCUAGUAGGAACUUCUUCCUCUUCAGCCCGCUGAGUAGCUGGCACUUUAAGGCAGGUGCCAACGCACCGGCAGCAAGCUUCCUUUUUUGCCCGGGAAAAACUGAGGUGCAGGUAGUAUAAGCCAUUGAUCACGGAACGCACAGGAGCAGAGCUCGAGUCCAAGCAUCGUGGCUCCACCCGUCAUGCUGGAUGCAUCUUUAGGCUCCGCUCUAGGUAUGUGUAUCCUUUACGGGAUCAGCCACCGG